rnacentral:misc_RNA from 1 species
CACCAGGGCACCGCCUUCGAAGAUGAUAAAAUUAUAAAAUGACCCCCAGUCUGUCAACAAAAGCCCCUUAACAAUCCUCGUAUAUAAGUCAAAUUUACCAGCAUUGUCUGAACCCAAAAGCUUCUGCCUCAUUUUCUGAGCAGCUAGACACUGCGGAUACUUCCUUCAUAUUCGUAAUGACCACUAUCAAUCUCCGCAAGGGCAAUACCCGCCUUCCGCCGGAGGUGAACAGAGUCCUCUACGUACGAAACCUUCCCUUCAACAUAUCGAGCGAAGAGAUGUACGAUAUUUUCGGCAAGUACGGGGCGAUUCGCCAAAUACGGAUCGGCACUAACAAGGAUACGCGAGGGACGGCCUUUGUAGUCUACGAGGAUAUCUACGACGCCAAAACGGCAGUGGAUCACUUGUCGGGUUUCAACGUUGCAAAUAGGUAUUUGAUCGUUUUGUACUAUCAGCAGGCCAAGAUGAGCAAGAAGUUUGAUCAGAAGAAGAAGGAGGAGGAGAUUGCUAAGAUGCAGGAGAAAUAUGGGGUUUCUACAAAAGAUAAGUAAACUCUUUAAUUCGAAUGAAAACAAACCUCAUAAAAUUUACUUCUGUAUUUGGGAAUUUUGUGGUUCUCUUCUUAUUUGGUUAAUGUAAUGUAUAUUUUGUUAUGGCCGGUAUUGCUUUAUCAUCUACGUUCUUUUAAUUUUAGGGUGUGAUGUACUGUUUGUUAUGAACUUGUACAUUGUGAAUGAUAUGUUAGUAAUUGGAAAAGGUGUGAUUGAAUCUGUUUUUGAGCCCUAAGUCAAUUAGACAGCAGGGUCUUUCUUUAUUUUUUGGCCAUCUGAUGAGUUGCAAUAGCUGAGAUUGGUCUCCCCCUUUCUAUUAGAAAUCGUAAGCCUUUACUGGCUAGGAAUCUUUUUGGUACAGGAUUUCUUUGAUGUUAUGGAAGUUAGUUCUUUAAUUAGUGACUUGGGUAUGUUCUUGGUAACCAGGGCUCGGAAAUGCUAUCAACAUGUAUCAAGGUUUAAACCUAGGAUAGCGUUUUUGCAGGAGUGUGAUCUGCGUGGUCAUGUGCUUGGAGGUUCCCUGUUUCAUCUGUCAAUUUUAGUGAAAAAUGUGUGAUAGAGAGAGACGCAACAAGGAAGGAGGGUUGGGGGGAAGUGGAUGUAAUACCAUGAAGCUUGGCAAUUGAUAUCAAUAAUGUGAUUUUUAUCUAAAUGUGAGCGGUCUUUAGGUGUAGGGAGAGAGAGAGAGAGAG